rnacentral:lncRNA from 1 species
AGCAUCCAAGGUCAAGAUUCAAAAUUUUAAAAUUGGAAUUUGGAGGGAAAGAUGUUAGCUUGGAAAACAAGUCACAUUGCAUUACAAAAGGAUCCAUUGUAUUCCCAAAACAUUCACAUAUUCCAUUACAAAAGGUCCAAAAUCAAGAUUACACAAAAAAUAUACAACUUUGACCUAUAAUUGACUUUAGUCAACCGUUGACUUUUUGGUCAAUUAGUUGACCAAAGUCAACUAACCUAACCACUAAUCCUAACCCUAAACUUCUCUUUGAUCUUCACUCUUCCAUCUUCUCAAAUGACUUCAUAUCCAAGUUUCCUUCAUGGCCAAGUAAUCCAUGAUAUAUUUCUUCAUGCCAUGAUGAUGAUGCCUUUAUGCCAAACUCUCCAUGAUCCAUGUUUUACCUCAUAAGACUAGCAACCUUACAUCAAACAAAGCAACAUUUUCGUGUGCAUCUCACCCAAUUCAAAGCAUGAGCGUAUGACUUAAUCAUGUGUGGUUCACAAUCCAAACACUCAAGGUUAAUGUUAAGCCAAUUUUGCAUAACAGCCCAUUUUCAAGCAUUAACAUCAAUAUUCCAAUCCACAAGACCACUAACUGCUUUUAUAAAGACAUCAAGCAUUUCAUAAUCCAAACAUCCAGUUUCAUGACAGUUCUACAACUAGCCCUCUACAUAACUAGUCAAAGGAAAAGAUUCAGCAAUUGAUAGCAUCACAAGUACACUAACAAGCUCACUAACAUAACAAUCGAGGCACCAACUAUUUCACAAUCCAAAUUACAAAUAGUUGCAGUGCAUAAAGCAUUUGUGACAGCAAACAUGUUCAAACAAUUAAAAAAACAAAAGACUAACAUUCAUAUUUCACUAACUUACAACCAAUUUCAAUAGCUUCCAAGCCCAAAAAAUUUCAUUUAAUUCUCCAAAUUCUAAUUCAAGUCAACCAUUACUAGCAUAAAACACAUAGUACACUUAGCAUAUCCAUUAAUGCUCAGGAUCAACAAGCCAGUCACAACAGCUAGUGAGUUUUUCAGCUGAUUUCAAAAUAUCACAAACCUUAACUUAACAUUCUAACAUCCAUCAUAAUAACAAUUAGAUUCAAAUUGAGUUCAUUCUACUAACACACUAACCUAUUGACUUCAAUUUAGAGCUGAUGUCAUGACAAGUUACUAACAUUCUAAUGCAUUAAUGCCACAAAUAGUUCACAAAAUCCUCAGCUUCAAGUGUCAUAGCAAUGCAAGUUUUCAUGACAUUACAAUUUCAACAUUACACGCACUGAUUUAAUAGCCUUCAGGCUCUAAUUCAUGAGCUCAUCAUAUUAACAGCCAUGCAUGUAACUGACAUUGGCCAUUUCAUCUUGCUAUAACUAACUCAUUUUCAAACCAACAGCCCCCAUAGUUUUCAAUUUGUUCCCUAUUUGGAAAUAUUUGUAUAGGAAAUAAUGAAAAUAAAUAGUUGUACAUCAGUUGUUCUCUCAAUGUUUUCACUGCAAACAUUUGAAAACAGAAAAAGAAAAUAACUAAUAGUUUUCUGAUACCAAUUACAAAGAGGCCCUAAAAUCUUCACCUUUAAUUUGGUCCUGGUUAAUGCUCCAGCUUUGUGCUUAUUUCGUAUGUUUGAUUUGCUAACUGCAACAUAGAAGUUACUGCAUAUAGGAAAAACUAUUAAUCUCAUAGUAGAAAUUAAAUGCAACUCAAUAGUAUAAGUUAAUUCCCUUAGUUAAUCACAUCAUACACUGAAGAUAAUUAAUUAGAAAAUUAAUAGUUUAUUUCAGCAGGAUAAACUAACAUCACUAAUUAUAACAAGUCAAGCAGGCAAAACACUUUCAUCAUUUCACUAACAUCAAACUCACUAUAAUAGCUUCAAACUAAUAUAACUGAAUUGUAACUAACAUUUAACUGAUUGUAACAGAGAUACUGGCAGAGCCUUCAAUUUAGGUUUAUGGCAGAGAGUUAGAAAGAAGCGAGGUUGAUUUGUGAGAGAGGGGAUUACGACGAGUAUUUUGAUGUAUGUUGUGGAGGAUUUGAACCUCCACCGCCGCCAGAGGCGAUUUCUGACGCGACGAAGUUCUUGCAAGUUUGUUCGUGUGUUUAAAUGAAGAAAGUGAGA